CUUGUAGCCUAUCAUGGGCUCCUAGACUCCCUGUGGCGCCUCAGGUCCCGCCUGGCGGCACAGCUCCACCUCGCCGUGGAACAGACCACGUACACGGCGUCUAAGGAGCACCCCUUGGUGGGAUGAUGGCAGCAUAAUGCUUUGUGCAGCUUGGACAGUCCUGUAUCUAUGCCAAAACUCACAGAACUGAACAGAACACCAGCCCAGCUGGUCUCAAAGAGAAAUAGUUUGGAUGUCUGUCUAAAAGAUAUGCUCUAGGUCCACCAGAAGUCACUCGAUGGUGCUUGAUAGUGUUCACUUGUAUUACAGAAACUUUGUUCUGUUGCAAGCAGAUGGAUGAAUGGACAAUCCUGAAAUGAUUAACCCUGGGUGGGUACAGAUAGCCUGCAAACCUUGUAGUGCAGCUGUAGCCUACUGCCUGACUCACUCCUGCUCAUACGUGGCUUGGGCCCACUGGUCCGAGUGUCUAGCUGGGAUGCAUCCUGCAAAGAAGAAGAGGAGUACAGAGAUCCAGUUAAUGUUCACACUUUUCAUGAACCAGCAAGCACAUCAUCAUCAUCAUCAUCUGAAAUCAGGGCCCCAUUGCGCUGUGUGAUUUGCAUGGUACGAG